UUUGGUUAGGACUUAUUUAGGAUUUAUCUAGGAUUUGACUAGGAUUUAUUUAUAAUUUGGUUAGGAUUUUUUUAGGACUUGAUUAGUAUUUGAUUAAGAUUUCAUUAGAAUUUGACUAAGAUUUAUCUAGAAUUUGUUUAGAGCUUAUUUAAGAUUUUUUUAGGAUUUGACUAAGAUUUUAUUAAAAUUUGUUUAGGAUUUGAUUAAAAUUUGAUUAGGAUUUGACUAAAAUUUGAUUAGAGUUUAUAUAGGAUUUGAUUAGGACUUAUUUAGGAUUUAUCUAGGAUUUAUUUGGAAUUUGACUAAGAUUUAUUUAAGAUUUGAUUAUGAUUUGAUUAGAAUUUGAUUAGAACUUAAUUAAGAUUUGACUAGGAUUUGAUUAGAAUUUAUUUAGAAUUUGGUUAGAAUUUAUUUAUAGUUUGAUUAGGAUUUGAAUAGGAUUUGAUUAGAAUUUGACUAAGAUUUGUCUCGGAUUUGGUUAGGGCUUAUUUAAGAUUUGUUUGAAGAUUUGACUAAGAUUUAUAUAAAAUUUGAUUAUAAUUUAUUUAGGAUUUAAUUAAGGUUUGGUUAGGAUUUGACUAAGAUUUGAUUAGGAUUUGAUUAGGAUUUUACUAAGAUUUGACUAAGAUUUAUUUAUAUUUUAGUUAAAAUUUGAUUAAAAUUUGAUUAGGAUUUAAUUAGGAUUUGACUAAAAUUUGACUAGGAAUUGUCUAGAGUUUGGUUUAGACUUAUUUAGGAUUUGUCUAAGAUUUGACUAGGAUUUUAUUAGAAUUUUUCUAGGAUUUGGUUAAAACUUAUUUAAGGUUCGUCUAAGAUUUGACUAGGAUUUUAUUAGAGCUUAUUUAGAGUUUGUUUAGGAUUUGAUUAGAAUUUACUUAGGAUUUGAUUAGAAUUUAUUUAGGAUUUUAUUAAAGUUUGGUUAUAAUUUGAUUAGGAUUUGUCUAGGAUUUGAUUAGAAUUUUUUUAGGAUUUUAUUAGGGCUUAUUUAAGAUUUAUUUAGGAUUUGUUUAGGAUUUGAUUAGGAUUUAUUUAGGAUUUGAUUGAAAUUUGACUAGAAUAUCAUUAGGAUUUGAUCAAAGCUUAUUUAGGAUUUUUUUAAGAUUUGAUUAGGAUUUGGUUAGGAUUUAAUUAAUAUUUGAUUAAGAUUUGAUUAGGAUUUAUUUAGGAUUUGAUUAGGAUUUGACUAGAGUUUGAUUAAGAUUUUUCUAGGAUUUGAUUAGGAUUUGACAAGGAUUUGAUGAAGAUUCGACUAAGGUUUGAUUAAGAUUUGACUAGAUUUUGACUGAGAUUUAAUUAAUAUUUUUAUUUUAAUAUAUAUUUUUUGAAUUUCUAUGUUAUUUUUUUAUGAUUUCUUUUUAAAAAAUUCUAAGAAUUCUUUGUAUUUUUCGUAUAAUUCUUUUGAAAUUUUAAUUAAAUUUGAUUAAUUUUUAAUUAUAUUUACUAAUCUUUAAUUAUAAUUUAUUUAAGAAUCUAUUAGAAUUGUUAGAACUUAUUAUUGUAAUUUUCUUUUUAUCUUCUACAGCCAGGUAUCCCAUGCAUUCUUAAGUCAAAUACCACAUAAUACAACAGUAUGCUUACAAAAAUACUUUCUAGACUUAAAUAACCUCUUAAAAACCAUAUUGAUAAUAU
rnacentral:lncRNA from 1 species